AUGAGCCAGUCACCGCCCAACACCAUACAGCUCCAGUCUAUGGGUUCCCAGGGCACCCUGGCUCCCCUGCCACAGCCACCCGAUGUCCAAAAUCCCCCCUCUCACUCUUGGGCCUCUCUGUGUGGGCCUCCUCCCUGGGGCCUCAGCUGUCUUCUGGCUCUGCAGCAUAUCUUGGUGUUGGCUUCUCUGCUCUGCACCUCCCACCUGCUCCUGCUUCAAAGUCUCCCAGCAGGAGGACUCUCUUUCUCCCCUGCCCAGCUCCUGGCUUCCAGCCUCUUUGCAUGUGGCGUGUCUACCUCCCUGCAAACUUGGAUGGGCAGCAGGCUGCCUCUUGUCCAGGCUCCGUCCUUACAGUUUCUUAUCCCCGCCUUGGUGCUGACCAGUCAGAAGUUACCUCUGGCUCUCCGGACACCUGGAAACUGUGAGCACAGAGCAAGGGCACAGGCCUCCCUUGUCCUGCACCUCUGUGAGGGGCCUGGCUGCCAUGGCUUGGAACUCUGGAACACUUCUAUCCGAGAGGUGUCCGGGGCUGUGGUGGUCUCUGGGCUGCUGCAGGCCACUCUGGGGCUCUUGGGGGGUCCUGGCCACUUGUUCCCCCGCUGUGGGCCCCUAGUGCUGGCCCCCAGCCUUGUUGUGGCAGGGCUCUCUGUCUACAGGGAAGUAGCUCUGCUCUGCUCCACUCACUGGGGCCUGGCAUCGCUGCUGAUUGUGCUCAUGGUGGUCUGUUCUCAGCAUCUGGGCUCCUGCCUGCUACCCCCACGCCCCUGGAGGCCAGCUUCAACCUCUUCAACCCAUACUCACAUCCUGGCCUUCAGGCUCCUCUCGGUGCUGAUCCCAGUGGCCUGUGUGUGGAUUGUCUCUGCCCUUCUGGGUCUCAGCAUCAUCCCUGGGGAGUUGUCUGCCCCCACCGGGGCACCAUGGUUUUGGCUGCCUCAUCCAGCUGAGUGGGACUGGCCCUUGCUGACACCCAGGGCUCUGGCUGCAGGCAUCUCCAUGGCCUUGGCAGCCUCCACCAGCUCCCUGGGCUGCUAUGCCCUCUGUGGCCAGCUGCUGCGUUUGCCUUCUCCACCUCCGCAUGCCUGUAGCCGAGGGCUGAGCCUGGAGGGACUGGGCAGUGUGCUGGCUGGGCUGUUGGGAAGCCCCAUGGGCACUGCAUCCAGUUUCCCCAACGUGGGCACGGUGGGUCUUCUCCAGGCUGGACCUCGGCGAGUGGCCCACUUGGUGGGGCUGUUCUGCGUGGCGCUGGGGCUCUCCCCGAGGCUAGCCCAGCUCCUCACCACCAUCCCGCUGCCUGUGCUUGGUGGGAUGCUGGGAGUGACCCAGGCAAUGGUUCUGUCUAGUGGAUUCUCCAGCUUCCACUUGGCUGACAUUGACUCUGGGCGGAAUGUCUUCAUUGUUGGCUUCUCCAUCUUCACGGCCCUGUUGCUGCCGAGGUGGUUUCGGGAAGCGCCAGUCCUACUGAGCACAGGCUGGAGCCCCUUGGAUGUGCUACUGCGCUCAUUGCUCACAGAGCCCAUCUUCCUGGCGGGACUCUUGGGCUUCCUCCUAGAGAACACCAUUUCUGGCACACGGCUUGAGCGAGGCCUAGGGCAAGGGCUGCCACCUCCUUUUACUGCCCGAAAGGCUCGGAUGCCUCAGAAGUCCAGGGAGAAGGCAGAUAAAGAGUACGAGCUUCCUUUCUCCAUCCAAAACCUGUGUCCCUGCAUUCCCCAACCCCUCCGUUGCCUCUGCCCGCUGCCCCAAGACUCUGGGAAUGAGGAAAGAGGGCCCGCUGAGCCCAGAGAGACAGCUGACUUGCUGCCUGACUUUGGGGACCAGUGCCCUCAGCCUAGCAGAGGACAGUCCCAGUUA
rnacentral:lncRNA from 1 species